rnacentral:rRNA from 1 species
UGGGGGAUAUUGCACAAUGGGCGAAAGCCUGAUGCAGCGACGCCGCGUGGGGGAUGAAGGCUUUCGGGUUGUAAACCUCUUUCGCUAUCGAACAAGGCCCGCUUAGGGUGGGUUGAGGGUAGGUGGAGAAGAAGCGCCGGCUAACUACGUGCCAGCAGCCGCGGUAAUACGUAGGGCGCGAGCGUUGCCCGGAAUUAUUGGGCGUAAAGGGCUUGUAGGCGGCUUGUUGCGCCUGCUGUGAAAACGCGGGGCUUAACUUCGCGCGUGCAGUGGGUGCGGGCAGGCUUGAGUGUGGUAGGGGUGACUGGAAUUCCAGGUGUAGCGGUGGAAUGCGCAGAUAUCUGGAGGAACACCGAUGGCGAAGGCAGGUCACUGGGCCAUUACUGACGCUGAGGAGCGAAAGCAUGGGUAGCGAACAGG